AGACAGGUGGCCGAGUGGUCGAAGGCGCACGCCUGGAACGCGUGUAUAGGGCAACCUAUCGAGAGUUCGAAUCUCUUCCUGUCUG
rnacentral:tRNA from 1 species